rnacentral:rRNA from 1 species
UACGAAGGGGGCUAGCGUUGCUCGGAUUGACUGGGCGUAAAGGGCGCGUAGGCGGUUUGUACAGUCAGACGUGAAAUUCCUGGGCUCAACCUGGGGGCUGCGUUUGAUACGUGCAGACUUGAGUUCGGAAGAGGGUCGUGGAAUUCCCAGUGUAGAGGUGAAAUUCGUAGAUAUUGGGAAGAACACCGGUGGCGAAGGCGGCGACCUGGUCCGAUACUGACGCUGAGGCGCGAAAGCGUGGGGAG